rnacentral:misc_RNA from 1 species
UUUCCGUAGGUGAACCUGCGGAAGGAUCAUUAGUGAUUUGGCCGAGAGGCCUGUAUCCAAUCCUCACACCUGUGAACUCGUCGGUGGGCUUGAUGGCCCGCCGGACAUACAAAACUAUGUGUAAUGAACGUCAUGUAUAACAUAAACAAAAACAAAACUUUCAACAACGGAUCUCUUGGCUCUCGCAUCGAUGAAGAACGCAGC